rnacentral:sRNA from 1 species
AGAGAGAGAGAGAGAGAGAGAGAGAGAGAUUCAGCUCCAAGAGACACUGCUAACUACUGGCCUCUAGAGGAACCAGGCAGGCAUGCAAUGUAUCCAUACAUGCAGGUGAAACACCUAAUACACAUAUACUUUUUAAAUUCUCAGGAUCUCCUUUCCUCUUUCCUCAACGUGGUGCUGUAUAUUGCAGGUUAUUUUCCAGGUCAUUGUCUACCAAUGUGUACCAUGUACAGUGUGCAAUGCUGUUAUCAGAACGUGGAACCUCUUACCUGCUAAACUGGAUUUCUCUUCUGUAGACCUGGCUGGCCUCUGCCUUCCAAGUGCAGAGAUUAAAAGCAUGCACCACCACAACAUGGCUACCAACCUGUAUAUAUUACUCUCAACUCCCAAGAAAUUCUGGCAACACGACAGGUGUCCCUGCCUUAUAAAGCUUCCCAGCAACGAAGAUGAGGAAGCCACUAGGUAAUGUACCUUAGGGACAGGUACUAAGAGUUGACUAGACAGAUUCAGGUAUCUGAUUUAAGUUUCAAUCUUAAAACUACAAACAGGAAAGAUUUUAAACUUUUAACUUUGCUUCCAUACAAACCAGAAUCGGCUUAUGACAGUGACCAUCUUUAAAUAUUGCUAGUGAAGAGGGUUAGGCUGAGGGGAUGCUGGUCAAUGAGUAUCAGCUGAAGUUAGGGUGAAAGGCAAUGUGCUUCCAUUCAAGUCUAAACCAUUCCUAGCCCAGACUGAUGAUCUUCACCUAAAGGCAUGUGGACAGAGUUCUGAUCCCAGUUUUACUUCUAAGCACCACAAUUAAGUGGCAAUUAAGUCCUCUAAUUUUGUGACCCUCUCUGCAGUGUGACCCAACACUAUCCUGGGUUUUCCUGGGAGUAAAAGUUCCCAGGAGCAGCAACUCUGUCCAGAAACAUGGAGUCCUGCAAGAACUGACCCACCCAUCUUCAGACUCCCUCUUCUUAGCCACCCAUCAACUCACAACCCUGGUGCAAUGCUAGAGGCACAACCAUGAUGCGCUAUUGGAGCUGGUCUUGUGUGCUGUGAAUCCAGAUGCUGAGUUCUGUGUUCAAGUUAAGGUUGCAAUCUAGACAUAGGCACUGCAUUGGCCAAUGUGCUGUAUAAAGAAUGCUCCCUGAUAAUCUCUGACUGGAUAAUAAAAGGCUAGAGCCUGUGAGUGGGCAGGAGGAAGGCAGGACUUAAAAUGGGAGUGGGGGGGUCUCAGGAAUCACUACAAGAAAAAAGGGAGAGGAAGACAGGGCAAACAUGGCAAGACUCCAUUUGGAAUGGAGCAUAAGGCCUAGAGGUGGGCUAUAGGUUAGAAUACCCCAGGAACCUGCCCAUUUAGGCUUAUGGCUCGUUAAUAAAAAUACCAGGUUUUUGUAUUUUAAUCAGUAGCUAUAUGGGCUAGAGAGAGCAGAAACCUCCCCAUAAAACCUCUAUACUCUUCUACCAACUAAUGGCUGUUGUCACAAACAAAAAUAUUAGAGGACGUAGAUACAUCUCAAUUUACUGUGGGGAUCUCACACUCCCCUAGACUCCCCCAAAAGAAAACCACAGGUGGAAAAUAUAAAUGAAAUGCACUUACCUUUCCCAACUGCCAAACACCAACAGUAUGCCAGUUACCAGCUGGGAUCACCACCAGGGAGCUGCACCUCACUCCAGAGAAUCAGACUAGAGCGCACCUGCACCCUCAAGCCAAAACAUUCUUGAUUGUGGGGCUAAGGAUACGCCAGUGCAGAGUGCUUGCCUAGUACAUGCAAGCUCGGCCUUCACUCAGUACCACAUCAAACAACCCUGGUGGCAAUGCCUAUUAAUUUCAGCACUUUGAUGGGGGCAGAAGCAGCAGCUCAAGUCAUUCCUGCCUACAUAAGUGAGUUCAAGACCAGCUGGAGCUACAGCAAACUUGGGGAGAUAGGGGUGGGGGUAGGUGUUUGAAAAUAUAUACCAGUGUUACUUCUGAAUUUCAUCAUUUAAAAAUUCAAGUCUUAGCCAGAGCUUAGUGGCACACACCUUUGAUCCUCUGGAGGCAGAGGCAGGUGGAUCUGUGAGUUUGAGGCCAGGCUAAUCUAUACAGUGAGUUCUGGAACAGCCAAAGCUAUGCAGUAAGACCCUGUCUCAAAAUUAAAAUAAAAUUGAAUUAAGUAAAAAACAGGUGUGUGGUUAAAUAACUACAUUAGCAUUUCAACAGGGCACUGGGAUUCAUGUCUGUGAUCCAAGCACUUGGGAAGUGGCGGUAGAAGGAGAGUUCAACAGUAUCCUAGACUACAAAGUAAACUUUGGGACAGCCUGGGCUACUAGACCCUCCCCAGGGUGGGGAGGGCAUUCAGGGGACAAAGAUGGCUCAGCAGCUAAGAGUACCUAAAAUACUCACAACCAUCCGUAACUCCAGCACCAGCGCAUUUCAAGACUGACCUGGAGCACAAGGCAUAUAUGUGGUGCAUGUACAAACAUGCAGCCAAUGCCCUCAUAUACAUACAACUUAAAAAUCUAUAGGGCUACAGAAAAAUGUAUAGGCCCAGAAGUUAAAAGCACUUGUUGCUCUUGCAGAGAACCCAAAUUCAGAACCCAAUGCCCUUCUGCCCAGAGAGCACAGGCACACGUGGUCCACAUAUGUAGUUUAUACAGUUCUUAGGUGCACAUACCUAAGAAACCUAUACAUUUUUAAUCUAAGAAUUUCGUUUCUUAAAAUUCUUGUGGUCUAGGGUGUAGCUUAGUGAUACAGCACGCUCCCACAAGGCCCAGGUUCAAUCUCCACCACAAGAAGAAAAGAAAACCAACUUUGAAUUACUGAGUAUGUGCCAGGCAAUGGCUCUACGAGCCUUAAAUCCCAACGCUGGGAAGUGGAAGAGGUAACCAGACUCAGUUCCCAGCACCCACACCGCAGCUCACAAUCACCUCCAACUCCAGUUCCAGAGGCUAUGACACCCUCUUCUGGCCUCUGGGCAUCAAGUCCAUAAGGGGUAUACAGAAAUACCUGUAAGAGAACACUCGUACAGACUAAAAAUACAUCUUUGUUUUACUAUAUACCAAACUGGGGUGCAUGGUUAAGUUUGAGACUAGCCUAAGGUACAUGAGACUACCCACAAAAUAUAGUUCUAACUUGGAUGUGUAUCUCAUCCUAUUUAGCUGAACUGUCACUCUCUCACUCUCUCUCUCUCUCUCUCUCUCUCUCACACACACACACACACACACACACACACACACACACACAGAGUUGAAAUUAACAAGACUGUACAUGGAAAGAAAAAUCAACUUUAUUGUAUACAGAAAGGCAUCUACUUCAGAUGUGCAUUAAUGAACACUAACAUUUAUUGAGGUAUUAUGUUAGAUAAGCACCCACUAUAUUGUACUGACUUACUUCACACAAUCCUGAUAAAUUUAUCCCUGUUGGAAGUAAAAAUGAAGGUUGAAGAGAUUAAACAAUGUAUAA